UUGAUUUAUUUUCUUUGUUUUAUCAGACUUCAAAUUGUAAAGAGUUGGUUCUUCGGCGGACGCAAAUCCGCACAGGGCCGACGCCCACACCCUAUCACUAAGGUGUAGACGGCCCGCCGAAGCUGCUUUUCAGCGAAAAUACACAAGGGUGGGAGUUUUCGGGAUAAACCGAAAAAAACUCGUUAAUGAUCCUUCCGCAGGUUCACCUACGGAAA
rnacentral:misc_RNA from 1 species